rnacentral:lncRNA from 1 species
CUGGCUGUCUCUAUCUCUGUCAAAUAAAUAAAAUAAAACAAAAGAUUUUAUAAUUUAUUUGAGAGAGAGAGCAUGAGCAGGGGGAAGGGCAAAGGGAGAGAAAGAAGCAGACUCCUUGCUGAGCAGGGAGCCCAACGUGGGACUCGAUCCCAGGACCCUGGGAUCAUGACCUGAGCCAAAGGCAGACACUUAAACGACUCAGCCACCCAGGUGCCCUGGUACUAGAACUUUUUUUGCAGUGUUUUUGUUGUCUAGAUUCUCAUUGCUGGUAAUUUGGGCAGUGUGGAUUAUAAUGAUACACUUGCCCAAGCAGUGAGGAUCCUGCAGCUGAUUUAUAGGAAGGCCUUGACUGCUGCUGGUACGUUGACACUGGGGACACAGUUGUGUGGUCUCCACAGAAAGGAGGACUUGUUCUGUGAAAGUUAAAAAUGGCAGAUAAGAAUUGAGAGCGUGAGGGGCGCCUGGGUGGCACAGCGGUUAAGCAUCUGCCUUUGGCUCAGGGUGUGAUCCUGGCGUUAUGGGAUCGAGCCCCACAUCAGGCUCUUCCGCUAUGAGCCUGCUUCUUCCUCUCCCACUCCCCCUGCUUGUGUUCCCUCUCUCGCUGGCUGUCUCUGUCUCUGUCAAAUAAAUAAAAUAUUAAAAAGGGAAGAAAAAAAAACAGUGGCUAGCCCUAUUCAUUGUUGAAUGAAUACAACUAAUAAAAAAAAUAAAAAAAAAAGAGUUGAGAGCAUGAGAUACUAUCACUGGUUACUCAUACUGUAAUUUGAUGAAAAUCAUGGGGCAGGAGAAAGUGUUUUCAUGUCUAUAAUUUUUGAGUAAAUCUUUUUUUUUUUUUUAAAGAUUUUAUUUAUUUAUUCGAUAGGAUAGAGACAGCCAGCGAGAGAGGGAACACAAGCAGGGGGAGUGGGAGAGGAAGAAGCAGGCUCAUAGCGGAGGAGCCUGAUGUGGGGCUCGAUCCUAGAACGCCGGGAUCACGCCCUGAGCCAAAGGCAGACGCUCAACCGCUGUGCCACCCAGGCGCCCCCGCCUGCGUGGUGCCUAAUUUUGUUGCAAGUUCCACACAGCUUCAAGCUUGCCCGCACGUUUCCACGUUGGUAGAUUAGGACGGCCAGGCUAGUUCUCAGUAGAACACCCUCGAAGACCUACUUCGGUAGUGAGCAGAGGCUAACGCCAACAGCCCUCCCUCACACCACUGCUGCACUUGGAUUUGUCACAACCAGUGCUCCCAAGUUCAUGCUGUUUCUGCCUCCGCCCCACUCUGAAGACCA